AUUGGACAUAUCAAUUAGGGUAUUUAGCGGCAAAACAAAAUCUGCAAUCUGAAAAUCAUUCUGUGGCGACACUGUAGUUGGUCAGUACAGUGGAGAGGUACAGUAUAUUGAACAUGAUUUUGCGUACCGACAGAUACAUCUUGUUGACAGAGAGGUUUGGGAAACACUCUCCUAAUCUACCCUCUGUUAUACUGUUAAUGUUGACUCUAUACUGGCCAUACUGGUACCCGCUACCCAGUACUCACCACACUGUAGCUACCCAGUACCCACCACACUGUAGCUACCCAGUACUCACCACACUGUAGCUACCUGGUACUCACCACACUGUAGCUACCCAGUACCCAGUACUCACCACACUGUAGCUACCCAGUACUCACCAAACUGUAGCUACCCAGUACCCAGUACCCACCACACUGUAGCUACCCAGUACUCACCACACUUUAGCUACCUGGUACUCACCACACUGUAGCUACACAGUACCCAGUACUCACCACACUGUAGCUACCCAGUACCCAGUACUCACCACACUGUAGCUACCAAGUACCCAGUACUCACCACACUGUAGCUACCCAGUACUCACCACACUGUAGCUACCCAGUACCCAGUACUCACCACACUGUAGCUACCCAGUACUCACCACACUGUAGCUACCCAGUACCCAGUACUCACCACACUGUAGCUACCCAGUACCCAGUACUCACCACACUGUAGCUACCCAGUACUCACCACACUGUAGCUACCCACUACCCAGUACUCACCACACUGUAGCUACCCAGUACUCACCACACUGUAGCUACCCAGUACCCACCACACUGUAGCUACCCAGUUCCCAGUACUCACCACACUGUAGCUACCCAGUACUCACCACACUGUAGCUAACCAGUACCCAGUACUCACUACACUGUAGCUACCCAGUACCCAUCACACUGUAGCUACCCAGUACCCACCACACUGUAGCUACCCAGUACUCACUACACUGUAGCUACCCAGUACCAUCACACUGUAGCUACCCAGUACCCAUCACACUGUAGCUACCCAGUACCCAGUACCCACCACACAGUAGCUACCCAGUACCCACCACACUGUAGCUGCCCAGUACCCAGUACUCACUACACUGUAGCUACCCAGUACCCAGUACCCAUCACACUGUAGCUACCCAGUACCCAUCACACUGUAGCUACCCAGUACUCACCACACUGUAGCUACCCAGUACCCAGUACUCACCACACUGUAGCUACCCAGUACUCACCACACUGUAGCUACCCAGUACCCACCACACUGUAGCUGCCCAGUAUUCAGUCCCACCACACUGUAGCUACCCAGU